rnacentral:tRNA from 1 species
CAGUAGCUGAGUGGAAAAAGCGAUGGCAUUUAAAGUGAAUGGUAUUGGGUUCGAGUCCCAGAGUGAA